UAAAUAGCCAUUAGAAGAAAACAAAAAUGCAAAUUCAUGUUCUCUAAAUUGGUUAACUAUUCUGAUUCCAAUAAAGUUCAAAUGGUAACUGUCCAUAUUGAAGAUGGAUCAAAGAUUUUGUACCAGAUCUAAUAGGGAAAAGCGAAAAAAAGCAGAAAUUUGGUUGCCUGAUAACUUUCUUCAUUUAUUGCACACCUCCUAUUCUAAAUUGCUUUAAUAUCUUUAAUCUACAUUGCAAUAUAAUCAAUACAAUCUACAAUGUAAUCAAUAAAUAACAAGCAGAUUAACUCAAACUUGCAAAAAAUUCUCUCAUCCCUUACAACCACGUAUGUCCAACAAAUACCAACUCAUACAUAUCUGACAGUGAGAGAUUGAAGCUGAAUCAUGAACGAAUUGCAUAGGUUAGAAGAAAUCAUGCUCUUUUCCUUCCCAGUUAUAAAUUCAGGUGCACCAUACAUACCUGGUCACUUCACACACAAGACAACUGUCUUCACAUGUUUUCUCCAUAAGGUAUGGAAUGCCCCAAAUCAUAACCAAUUAAAAGGCUAUUGUUUAUAUAUACAUAUAUAAAUAUGUGGGGGA
rnacentral:lncRNA from 1 species